CCUACGGGUGGCUGCAGUGGGGAAUUUUGGACAAUGGGCGCAAGCCUGAUCCAGCCAUGCCGCGUGUCUGAAGAAGGCCUUCGGGUUGUAAAGGACUUUUGUUAGGGAAGAAAAGGCAUUUGCUAAUAACAGAUGCUGAUGAGGGUACCUAAAGAAUAAGCACCGGCUAACUACGUGCCAGCAGCCGCGGUAAUACGUAGGGUGCGAGCGUUAAUCGGAAUUACUGGGCGGAAAGCGAGCGCAGACGGUUAAUUAAGCCAGAUGUGAAAUCCCCGAGCUUAACUUGGGACGUGCAUUUGGAACUGGUUAGCUAGAGUAUGUCAGAGGGGGGUAGAAUUCCACGUGUAGCAGUGAAAUGCGUAGAGAUGUGGAGGAAUACCGAUGGCGAAGGCAGCCCCCUGGGAUAAUACUGACGUUCAUGCUCGAAAGCGUGGGUAGCAAACAGGAUUAGAUACCCCAGUAGUC
rnacentral:rRNA from 1 species